ensembl:snRNA U7 small nuclear RNA
GAGAGAUAACAUCUCUUUUAGAAUUUUUCUAUCAGGUUUUCUGACUUUUUUUGGAAAACCCAA